ACAGAGCGAGAUUGCGACAAUUUGUGUUACUCUCUACGGAAUGAACAGAAAUUAUUGUUCAGGCUACUCCUUGCUGGACCCUUUACAAGCACUUGUAUUGGUUCAAAGUACCUGUACAAGCUCAAAUAUGACCAACACACGACGUGGUACGUAUACGGUAUUCUAGCACGGACAUGUCAAAUCGAUUUUCUGAAGGAACCUUUCAACUUAUUCCCAAG